CGUUUAGACAAAAAGCUGCCCCUGGUCUAAUACUGGCAGGUAAUAACAAGGUCAGCUGGAUUGUUAAAUACCUUAAAUCAACAAAUCUAUCGCGAGGAACCAGGUCAGUGUCCGGGUUAAGGCGAUAAACUGCGAAAUUAUCUUUCCCCCGUCAUAACGAACAGGAUGUUUGUCCCCAUGAUAGGAGGUAUAUAUAAGGUGGCCAGUUUGACUCGUUUAAUCAUAUUGACUCCUGUUGGUGCCAGUCUAACUGUUGUUCAACUAACUAUAUAUUAUACAGCCAGCCAUACGUCAAGAUGAAAUCUGCUACAGUUAUUUUAGCCUUUGCUGUUGCCCUGUGUGUCAUGUUUGAAGUAUCAGACGCUAAUACCUUUGCCAGAUGCCAGUGUGGAGGAAGAUGUGGAACAUUUACAUGUAGUAACCCAGAUACUGUUAGAGGUUGUAACUGUGUUAGUUGUACCUGUAGGCGUGGAAGUAUAGGAUUCCGUCAAUGUUGUGCCAAUAGUUGUGGUUUCUUUAACUCGAGGAAAUGUUUCCGAUGCAAACCUUAUCAAAGCUGUAGCUGUAGUGGAUGCCGAUAAAAAAAACAACCAAACCAACAAAAACCUCAAAAUUUUUAUAGCGUUUUUAAAUUAUUUUUAUAAUUUAUAAAAUAUUGUGCCAGUAAAUGUGUUGGGUAUUUUUUGUUGGGUUUUUUUUUUUGAAAGACUAAGGAAUGUGUCCUAUUCUAUAGCAGUAACGGAUGCAGAUAGUCAUAAAAAAACUAUUUUAUUUUUUUUUUUUUACUAUAUUUAUAUUUGAAAAAAGCGUUGUACAGAACUUUUUAAUAUAUACAUUUUUAAAUUGCUGUGCCAAUCAUUGUUCUUUGAACUAAGAAAUGUUUCCUAUCAAAACGUUUAUCAAAGCCGUGACAUCUCAAAAACCUUUUAUAUUAUUAAUAUCAUUUAUAAAUUGUUGUACCAACUAAUGUGUUUUUGGAAGACGAAGAAAUGUUUCCAAUGGUAACCUUAUCAAAGCUGUAGCCUACCUGUAAAGGAUGCCAAUAAAAUGACAAAACACUUUUAUAUUAUUUAUUUUUGAAUAAAGUUUUUUACGUCUGUA